UACAUAGGGGGCAAGCGUUAUCCGGAAUUAUUGGGCGUAAAGGGUGCGUAGGUGGCCAUUUAAGUCUUUGGUGUAAGUUCAGCGCUCAACGCUGUGAUGCUAAAGAAACUGGGAGGCUUGAGUGUGGUAGAGGCAAGUGGAAUUCCAUGUGUAGCGGUAAAAUGCGUAAAUAUAUGGAGGAACACCGGUGGCGAAGGCGGCUUGCUGGGCCACAACUGACACUGAGGCACGAAAGCGUGGGGAGCAAACAGGAUUAGAUACCCUGGUAGUCCACGCCGUAAACGAUGAGUACUAAGUGUAGGGGAAACUCUGUGCUGUAGUUAACGCAAUAAGUACUCCGCCUGAGUAGUACGUACGCAAGUAUGAA
rnacentral:rRNA from 1 species